GAGACACCCUUAUGGAGCAGGACUUGCUUCAAUGGGACUUUGGUGUUCACUGAGUCUGUCCCUUGAGUGUUUCUUA
rnacentral:pre_miRNA from 1 species